GAUGAAGAACGUAGCGAAAUGCGAUAACUAAUGUGAAUUGCAGAAUUCAGUGAAUCAUCGAGUCUUUGAACGCACAUUGCGCCCCCUGGUAUUCCGGGGGGCAUGCCUGUCCGAGCGUCAUUGCUGCCCUCAAGCACGGCUUGUGUGUUGGGCCUCCGUCCUCCUCCCGGGGGACGGGCCCGAAAGGCAGCGGCGGCACCGCGUCCGGUCCUCGAGCGUAUGGGGCUUCGUCACCCGCUCUUGUAGGCCCGGCCGGCGCUUGCCGACACAUCAAUCUUUUUUCCAGGUUGACCUCGGAUCAGGUAGGGAUACCCGCUGAACUUAAGCAUAUCAAUAAGCGGAGGA
rnacentral:misc_RNA from 1 species